rnacentral:lncRNA from 1 species
AUCUCACCAGGGUGCUCAUCGUUGUUUCAUGGUUGGACUGAGAUGGUUUUUGCCUAGCUAUUUACUAAUCGCCGUGUGUGAGCCGGAGGUAGUGCAGUACAUGAUUUGGACAGUGUCGUGUGCGCGGUCUCACAUCAAAGUCUAGGUGGCAUCUACGUGUCCUCUCACCAUGGACUUCUUGAUUUUAUAGAGGUCCGACAAACGCAAACACUUGAUCAAAUUGGCCUGAACUCCAAGUCUCCUGUUCCGAUCCAUUCCGUGACACAUGUGUAUGCUCCCAUGCAUAUGCAUGCAUCUAAUUUUCGGUCUCUGGUUAGAUCGACAUCUCUCGUCCAUCUGGAUCGGUCACGUCGUCUCGACCGGGGAUUAUGUAUCUGAGGCCUGGCUGGCGGACAGAAUUUAGG